UACGAAGGGGGCUAGCGUUGCUCGGAAUCACUGGGCGUAAAGGGUGCGCAGGCGGCCAAGUGUGUUAGGCGUGAAAGCCCGGGGCUUAACCCCGGAAUUGCACCUAAAACUACAUGGCUAGAGCAUUGGAGAGGGUAGCGGAAUUCACGGUGUAGCAGUGAAAUGCGUAGAUAUCGUGAGGAACACCAGAGGCGAAGGCGGCUACCUGGACAAUUGCUGACGCUCAGGCACGAAAGCGUGGGGAGCAAACAGG
rnacentral:rRNA from 1 species